AUGUUGAGUCAACUUACUUCACCAUUGCAAUUAUAUGCUCCAUCUCUUUAUUUUCUUCCAAUCUUUAAUCUACUCUAUUUGAGUAUAAUUAAAUGUCAAUUGUAUAAUAUAACCAAGGUGAAAAAUAAACUAAUCAAAUGUAAUAGUUUAAAUAUACUAAAAUUAAUCUUCUCAAAAAGCUCAUGCCACAUUUUCAAUUAA